rnacentral:rRNA from 1 species
UACGGGGGGAGCAAGCGUUGUUCGGAUUUACUGGGCGUAAAGGGCGCGUAGGCGGCCAGCACAAGUCAGUUGUGAAAUCUCCGAGCUUAACUCGGAAAGGUCAACUGAUACUGUGCGGCUAGAGUGCGGAAGGGGCAACUGGAAUUCUUGGUGUAGCGGUGAAAUGCGUAGAUAUCCGGAGGAACACCGGUGGCGAAGGCGGCUCUCUGGGCCUUACCUGACGCUGAGGAGCGAAAGCGUGGGUAGCGAACAGG